rnacentral:tRNA from 1 species
GGAGAGGUGCAGGAGUGGUUGAACUGUCUCCCCUGAAAAGCGAGUAUACGCCAAAAGCGAUUCGGGGGUUCGAAUCCCUUCCUCUCCG